UAAGGAUGACGACGACGACGACGACGACGACACCAAUGAUGAUGAUGAUGCUUUAGCUGCUACUACUGAUGAUUUUAAAUUUGACGACGACGAUGACGACAGCACUGAUAACGUGAAUUUACCACGACUUUACAGAAAUAACUUAUCUAAUGUGAAAAAUACAGAUCUAUCGAAAAGAGAAAAACUGAAAAAAUUAUUCAACGAAAGAGCCAAAAAAACAGAGCUGAAUGAUGCCGAAUCUGAUCAUAGUCACGAUAAAGACGGUAGCACCUCUACAGAAGAAAAUACCUGUCGGUUUUGGACAUAUGUGGACGACGAAGAUCUUGAGGCACGAAAUGCUUUCCAGCCUAAAACUGGGAAAAGAUGUAGAAAGAAGACAACGGUAUUAGACAUUUAAAUUCAUGAAUUCAAUUUAGGUGACAACAAUUGAGUGGUAUCAUUAAAUACAAUUUGAAACUCUAGAAUGCUUUUGUAGUUGUUAUAUAGUAUUUAUUUUGUAUAUUUGUUCAAUAUAAGUAAAGUCGCAAACUUCAUAAAAACAUUUAAAGUAAUUAUUUAUUUUAUCUUUAUUAAAAAGAACGUGUUUUUAAGUUAUUUUGUUAAUCUGAUAGUCGAUAUAAGCUUAAAACAAUAAAGACAACGGCACCUGUUUAGUUUAUUCACCAACAACAUUACAAUGUGGAUGUGGUUAAUUAUAAUAUCAAUUACAGUACCAAAUGUAUAAAUGACAAGCUGUCCUAGCAAGUUAUGUAAUAAAAAUAAACUCAAGCAUUAACAAUUUAGUGGUAACAAGGUCAUUAUUGUUUACAAAUUGUAAAUUUCGGUUAAUGGUUAUUAUUGCUGUGAAUAACUUGAAACAUGCGUAUCCGUUUACAGUUUUUUAUAUGAUUUCUAAUGACUCUCUUAAAAGAUUUUAAAUACGCAUCAAUAACAAAAUUGUUAAGUUUUAAUUUUAAGAUAUCGACAAAGUAUUUCAGUCCUUGUGGUUUCUUAUUAAAA